UUGCUUAGGCAGCACAUAUACUACAAUUGAAAUGAUAUAGAGAAGAUUAGCACAGUCCUUGCACAAGGAUGACAAAUUCAUGAAACAUUCUAUAUUUUU
rnacentral:snRNA from 1 species